rnacentral:rRNA from 1 species
AGUGAACGCUGGCGGUAGGCCUAACACAUGCAAGUCGAACGGCAGCACAGUAAGAGCUUGCUCUUACGGGUGGCGAGUGGCGGACGGGUGAGGAAUACAUCGGAAUCUACUUUUUCGUGGGGGAUAACGUAGGGAAACUUACGCUAAUACCGCAUACGACCUACGGGUGAAAGCAGUGGAUCUUCGGACCUUGCGCGAUUGAAUGAGCCGAUGUCGGAUUAGCUAGUUGGCGGGGUAAAGGCCCACCAAGGCGACGAUCCGUAGCUGGUCUGAGAGGAUGAUCAGCCACACUGGAACUGAGACACGGUCCAGACUCCUACGGGAGGCAGCAGUGGGGAAUAUUGGACAAUGGGCGCAAGCCUGGUCCAGCCAUACCGCGUGGGUGAAGAAGGCCUUCGGGUUGUAAAGCCCUUUUGUUGGGAAAGAAAAGCAGCAGGUUAAUACCCCGCUGUUCUGACGGUACCCAAAGAAUAAGCACCGGCUAACUUCGUG